GUUUUGCCAUGUUUCCGAGGAUGGUCUCAAAUUCCUGGGCUCAAGCAAUCGUCAGCCUCUCAAAGUGCUGGGAUUACAGAUCACUAAACGAAGGCAGACAUCAACAUUUCUGGAUUCAGGGUCCAGAGUGCUCACCAUUACACCAUGGAACCUCAAACCAGACAUCAACGUCUCUAAUGAGUCUUUCUUUAUUCCAAUAAAAGAAAAUGGUCAGUGAGAGGUUGGUUUAGAUGAUUUGGGAAAAGGUAAUAGAAGUCCUGUUCACAAGGUUGAUACUGUGUACCCCCAGCAAGUUAUGUCACCUCUUCUGGUCCUUGGUUUUAUCAUUUCUUUUUUUCUUUUUUUAAAGAGUAGUCAAGUCCCAACAAUCAAUUGAGAUAACUCACUACCACUGGACCAGCUGGUUUAUAAUUUGUUGUUAAGUCAGGGAGCUGGACUAAGAUAUUUUUGCAGAUCUGUGAGUUUAUAAUUCGAUGACAUAUAACAUUAAAACUGAAGAAACUGA
rnacentral:lncRNA from 1 species